AUUGUCUCAGCGGGACUGCACUGAGGGUCUGCUGCCAUUGCCUUGGGACAUCUCUUGGCCAGUGGAGCCAUCCUCUUUGGAAAGCCCUUGGCCAACAGAGUCCUCCCAGUCAGACGGUUCUGGGGAGCUUCUGACUGCUCCUUGGGACAGCCCUUGCUCCAUGCAUUCUUCCCCAUGGAAAAUUCUUGGUAGCUAAGGGCUUCUCCCUGGGACAGCUCCUGCUCUCCUCAUCCCAGUUGGUGAGUUACGGAUAUUCUCAGUUCAGUCAGAGAGAAAAGGAGAGUUUUCUACCAGGCUGGGCUUGGGAAAGAGUUUGAAAGGAAUGUAAAUAAUUUACUAUCUCUCUUGUUGUUCACAUUGUUUAUAGAUAUGUUCUGCCUACAUGAGUCAUUCAGACACUGCGCUCCAACGGUGUGAGAUGAUUUUACUUUAAGACCAAUGAAAUUGGUCUGCAAGAUGUGCUCUAUAAAAAGAGUGAUGUAUUUGAAAUAAAGGAUUUGAGUUCAGUCCUUCUAGCCUUCUGACUUGGAGUCUUCAUUAUCCCCGUCCUGCCUCAACAGCGACAGAGAGUUCUCCACAGCUACUGACGUCUCCUUGGGAGAGCUCUCACUCAAGAGAUUCUUCCCAGUCAGUGAUCUCUUGGCAGCUCCUAACAUCUCCCAGUGGGGAAGGUUCAUGAUCCAUGUCAGAGUCACGCUCUUUCUCCAUGCUGACAAUGGUCCCCUCCCCCUCAGUCCCUGACAGGGGCAGGACUGAGCCACCCACUGCCCUCACCAAGUGCCUGCUGAGGGCCUGGUGUUCGGCCAGCUGGGCAAGGGGCUGGGGGGCUGCAAUUUGGGGUUUGCUUUGUCCUCUUCCAUCUCUGUCGUGCUCUAGCACAGAGACAUCCCAGGAGCUGCUUCCUCCCGAGAGAGGCCCCAGGGCUCUUGCAUGGCUUCCCCCACGACACAGUGGAUCCAGCUCUCCCUCAGCAGGUUUGAGAAUCUGAUGUGGAGAGACUUGGUAUCUUGGAGGAUGAUAAGAACGGCUUACAUUAAGGAAUUAAUUAAAUUGAGGGUUGCUACAUAAAUGGAGCAGGAUGAUGGCAACAAUGUAUCCAUCAUGAAGCUAAAACAAUUCAAAAGGGAGCCUGUCUUAGAGUAUAUGUAUAUAACUGGGAAAAGAAGGAACUAGGAACUGUUUCAUAUGCAGAACAGUGACACCCUUGGGAAAACUGAAACAUAGGGGGACAGCUCACAUAACCACAGCUCUCCAAAGAAUUAAGGGUUCAUUAAUAAAAACAAAAAGGUAAAAUUUCCUCCAUGUGAAGAAGUUGCUUGAAUGCAUGAAACUAUUCUGUAUAUGGACAACAUUUUUGCUAAGAGCUUGUGGAUCACUGAUGAUCAUUAUGAUGAUGUGGCACAGUGCCAGGAGUUUGUUACAGAGCCACUCCCUCACCCUGAUCAGUUAAGUGUCUUGAAACAGCUUAAGGAAGGGAUGUGGUAAAGAAGUAUCUUUGGACUGAGCUGCAACACACCAAAAUCAAACCAAACCAAAACAAACAAGUAGUAUACAGAAAGCAGAAGGAAAACCAGCCUAAAAAGGAAGAAUUUUAAAACAUUGCACCAGUGUGUUAGGAUUAAAAAGUUCAAUUGGAGCUCUAACUGGCAAGGAAAGAUUUAGGGCAACAAGAAUAGCAACAAGAACAGAUGCAAGGACAACAGCAAAAUCAACAAGGAAAACCUUUUUGCAGGCCUGGAAUUGUGCCCUAGUGACAGGGAAAUGGAGAGAGUUGGGAAGUCCAGUGCUGCCUUUGUCCUCACCAGCAAGACCCCCAAAUCUCUGUGCCCAGAGGCAAGGUUCAAGAAAGACAGCAACCACCAGGAGUAGAAGAUCAAGUUGUGAGGACACAGCUUCAUGGCUUCAUGAACCCAGAAUAAUUCCACACUGGAUUUGACACCUCAUUACUGGCUACAUGGAAUAAAGGAAGUUGCUGUGAGAAUCUGAGAUUAUAAAAGGUCCAAAGGUACACAUUCCAAACAGAACACUGACAGAAAUGUUUAUUCAAAGCACCUUAACACACCCUUUUACAAAUAAAAAUAUUGCAGGCUUAUCACACUAAAUCAUCUACUUUGAAAUUGCAUUUUUUGGGUCUUUUCCUUUAGUUAUACCAAACUCCUCUGUUUCCUCUGGUUCAUCCUCCGAAAUCAAUAAUUUCUGUGGAGUAGAAGGAAAGACAGGACAUAGAGAUGCAUUUUAUUACAAAACACUGGAAAGUAAUCCCAAUAACCUAAAACAUAACUCUAGAACUCUGCUGUCCACCUCAGUCCUCCUCACCCACUGCCUUGCAAUGCCAAUACUUGAAGUUGUUUACAUUGUUUGUCAGCUGGCAGACAGACUCAGUACACCCACACUGACUGCCACCAGCCCAUAUCAAACUCUGAAUAGCCAAAAAAUGCCUCUUCAUUAGAUGAUGUCACAAAGAAUGCAGAAUAAAAAAGAGGGAUUUCUGUGUGGAAAAAGAAUGAUGGUAAAGGGGCAGGGAGUACCAGGCUGCAAAGAAAACAGAUUUGGUUAUAUCUGCUCUUCACAGGAUGCAUAUUUUCUUCAAAUCAUUCCCUUAUCCUAUAACUUAACCUUGCUAAACCUAAAGACAAGGGGCACAAUAUGUUGCCUCAUUAAUUAUGGAUGGAGACCUAUGCUGAAAAAUGUUUUAAAUCAUCCAACUCCUUGAUUCUGGAAGUAAAGAGUUGGAGGGAACUUUGAAUCAAUCACUUUGCUGUGUUUUCAGGCAUUGGCAUCUGCCUCUGUGCCAUAUCAGACAGACACCUGGGCUCAUUUGUUCUCAAAAACACACUAGAAAAGCCACUGGGAAAGCCAGAACUGCUUUGUUGUGGUGGGCCAGAAAAUUUAUUAGAAUCAAUUUCAGUCCAAAUGGCUAUUUGAGUCCAAGGGUCUUUGAGACAAACCAGGCUCAAUGCAAUUUGCCAAAUCCAAAGCAGAGCUAUGAUCUACUGAUAUUUCUGAUGGAUUUGAGCCAAGCCCAGGGACCCUGU
ensembl:lncRNA